AUUUCUUUUGAGAAAUCAGCUGAUAGCCAUAUGGGCACUCCUUUGUAGGUAACUCUCUCCUUUCCUCUUGCUUCUUUUAGGGUUCUCUUAAAUGAGCAAACUCGAACUCCCCACAGGCUCCCUCUUCUGCAGCUGAGGCAAACCAACAGGCUUUGGGGAUCUGGGCUUCUCACUGGCAGGAAAGAACAUUUAGGGAUUAAGAAGUAGGUGAGGGAGAGAGGAAAGGAAGAGGAAUCUAUGUGCAAGGAAGUUUGUACUAUCUUUAGACAAAGGAGGGUUCAAAGGAAACACACCCAGCCUGCAAAAGGGAAGUGAGAAAUGACUAAAACUUUUUUAAAAAGUAUCUACCUUGAAUUUUACACUGGCAGGGCUGAGUAUCUUAUUUUGAAAUUAUUUUCUCUUUUAUACCUUGUUCAUACCACUUUCUCAUUCAUAUUUGUCUGGUGACACCACAGUAAUGAGUGUCACUGGAAAGACACGGUAUAGAACUAGGUGGCAGGGGUGGAGGGGGUGAGGCACGUGCAGGAAAUGGGGAAAUACAGAGGAAGAAAGGAAACAGAAGGCAAUGUAUCAUCUCCUCCACACUGCGAAAAUAGUUACCUUCAGGGUGACGAGACCUAUUCAAUAGAGUAUUGGGAUGUUGUCUUACUGCUCUCAAUCCUAAAUCUGUUAUUUUCUGGGUUUUGUAUAUAUUUGUUGGGAAACGAAGUCCCAGUUGAAUCUUUGUUACUCUCACGCUAGGGCAAAAGUUGUGGGUAUGGUAAAGACUUUUAUUCGGAAUAAAUUUUAUUUCUGGACAUUGUCUUUCUUCAAGGUCUCUUUUCCGAAGUAGCACUACGCUCUUUAGACCAGUGCAUUGCAUCAUCCUUCGGUUCAUUUGCCACCGUGUAUGGGCAUUUCCAGGGCCUCAGAUGUGAAAGAUGUAAAAGCAAACACACUCCAUGCCCUCAAGGAGCUCAUGGUCACUACGAAAGAGAGACAACUGAACAAAAUACUCACUAUUUAAAAGUUCCAUAGGCAAAGGCUGUACAAAGUGUCAUGGCAUGUCUAGCAUGAAUAAGUUUCUUCCAAGCGGAGAACAUUUUUUUGUAUGUUUUCUGUUAGGAAGCAAAUCUCCCUUGUUAAGAAAAAAAUAAGUGGGCAUCAUUCAGUUAUUAACCCAAAUUAUUUAGUGUCUAGUUGGUGCCCUGCAUCUAGAAAGGCUUUCAUGCUCCAUUACUGGAAGCUCCUGACAUACGGCCAAGCCCAAUAUCAUACAGUCCUGGGGGAAAUAUUAUAUUUUUCUGGGUACGCAAUUGAGAAAACUCCAUAUUUAGAAUCCUUGGCAUUUUCACUGCAUAACAAUUUGGGGAAAUCACAUCAGGCACAUAUUUAGAAGGUGUCCCAUGGUAAGUAUGAGAAGUUGCCUUGGUUUCACAUAAAAAUUAACCCUGGCUUAUCAGAUGUCUGAAAGAAUCAGGAAAAGCAAAAGUUAUCCUAUCUCUUUAGCGUUAUUAAAUGUCCCUCUGGAAUUACACGAGCUCUUGAGGAGCAGGAAAACUUUGUCUCACACUUAGUCCCAUGGUGGUAGUAGAUGUUCUUUAUCUCUGAUGUUUUCCCUAAGCUUUGCUGGAAUGUUUCUCUCUUGGGCUUCGGGGAGUAUGGUUCCGUGGAAACCAUGAGGCAAAGGGCCCCCUCUCUGCCUUUCAGCUUGCUUUUCUGACUAUUUAAUGCCACAGUCUCUGAGCCGGUUUCUUCACCACUCACAUGGCUCCUCCCUGCCCAGGCUUCCUCGAGAUUUGGUGAGGAUUCAUUGAAUAAUGGGACCUGUGAGCUUGCUAAAAAGAGGCUCCGUAUGACUUCGUGUGGCCUCCCCGAGACCACAUCAGUUAUUUGCUUCUGCACACUGAUGUGCGGGAGCCCGGUUCAUCGGUAAAUGAAGAGGGAAGAGCAGGGUUGGAGGCACAGUCUGGGAGGAGAGAGGAGUGGAGGAUGGAGAGCAGGGCAUAGCAUCUGCUGUCUUUAUGACAGCUGAAACUGACCUGGUACCUUGGCAGAGAGGCUGUCUGGGGACCAAAGGCUGAUGCACCUCUUUAACUAGCUAUUCGGGAAUGUGGGACAGAGUGGAGGUCAGAAACAGAGGCAGGGCUUCAACAGGCCAUGGGCGGUGCUGCUCUGGGGAAGAAGUGGGAAACAGCGCUGGGCGGGAGCCACAGUUCUCUUAAGGAGCCCCUUGAGCACCCAAUGACUGGCUACCUUGGGGGUGACCCUGGCCACACUGGUACUUUCCAGGUGGGCUCCUUGGGGAGGAAGUCAUGCCGAGGAGCCUCUACGGUCAGUGGACAAGUGGGGCUGAAACACCAGGGAAACUGGGAGGCUACAGCUGUAACUGAUGGACUGGUUUACGGGCCCACCCAAAGCCCUUUGGGGGGCUGUGAGGAAAAACUAUGCUCACUCUGAAAGUUCGUUAGUUUUUCUUAUUGGAAUGUAUGUAUAUUCUCCCAAUUUUAAGUGUCAACUCAACAAAAUCUUAAAUAUUAUGUUGAAUAAAGUGUGUCUGCAGGUAAAAUGUGGUCUGUGAAACAUCCGUUCAUUACCUUUCCAUAACUCACUGGAAUUCCCUAGAAUGCCCAGUUUUUUGCCAUCUUCAUUACUCAGAUGUACCCUGGAUGCACCACAAAAUUAUGUAUCAGACCAUGUGGCAGGGACCGCUCACUGACUCCCCAUACCUAGUCUUCCUUUCUCUCUUUGUAUCAAAACCAGUAUAGUCCAUAUAAUGGCAAUGACCCCAGCUAAGCUACUAAGUUUUCCGACUCCCUUAUCGUCAAGGGUAGGCAGCUGGCUGUGUAUUGGCCAAUGAGACAUAAGAACGGUGUCCCGAGGGACUUCUGAGAAGGCACUAUCUUAUCAGGUUGCUCACUCAGCUGGGGAGAGGUGAAGAAUUCCCAUCAAGGAUAUUCCCCCUUCCUGGGCUUCGACUGUAGACAAUGUGGCAGAAACGUGGGCAACUUGCUUGCCUCAUUAAGGUGCCUUCAGCACGGAAGCCGUGUAGCAGGAUGACGGAACAGAAAGAGAGAAGUCUAUCUUUAGUGACCCAGAUUCUGUCCUUAUCCGUAAACUUCUGUUACUUAAGAGAGAAAAACAUCUUGCUAAACUGUCUUCCUCAGGUUUCUACUAUACACAGCGACCUGAUUCAGACACACAGCAUUAUUUACAUGUUUAUGCAUAAAAAAUUAAACAAUAAAAAUUGCAUUUAGAGAUGAUUCAAGACAUCAGUGUGCAAGGUGUCACCUGGCAGUAUAUGAUGAAUUGUCGGAAACAAAAUGGGCAGGCCUAAAGGGCGUGAGAAUUCUGCCUUUGGCUGAGGUGGCGCAGAGUGGGCCUGUUUUGGUAAGUGGGAUUUAACUUGAGCAGCAAGAAUAGGGACUUACGCAUGUAAGGGAAGGGGAUGACGUGAAUAAAGGUGUGAGUCCAGCAACAGGAGCGGGCAGGCCAAUGUUGGUGAAACAGCAAGCAGACGCUGUUGGUCUGAGGGGAGUUUCUGAGUUGGAAAGUCAUGGAAGGUACAGCCAGUAAAAUUCUUGGGAAUCUCCAACAUAAAGCCACGAUCUUUUCUUACUUGGUGCGAGAUGGUGUUGUUUCAGGGAUAUCUAGCACCCUCUUUCUCACUUUUGUCUCCUCGGAUUGGAACGUUGCGGUCUUUUCCUGAUUUACUCUCACAAACAAACGCUCAUGCCCAGCCCCAUUCCUGAAGGGGCCCUUGCCCAGCAUGGCACCCAAAACGUGGCACCGAGAAUGGCACCCCUGGGAAGGGGCUUCUUGGUUUGGAACAGGAACAGGCCAGCUUCUUUGUCACAUUAUCAACGGGCUUCAUGAUAGCAUCCACCAUUUGUUCAGACUUUUUGGCUAAACACAGGUCACACCCACGACUCAUAGUGGAGAAGCUCAUGGUGUCACUGAAGAAAUGGAGGUGCAGACAAUGGCCCCUGUACAGACCGUGGCUCACGAGCAUCCCACAAAGUCUCUGUGCCUCCCUGGUCCACGUGCUCUCGGCCCCAUCGCACAACCUGCUCUGCACCCUGUAAACGGGCCCAGGUGGUGAGUCGGUCUGAAGCCCUCCCAGGACAAGCCUUUAAAUUCGUAUGGCAUCUUGCUAUCUGUGGAUAUCUCCUGGACCAAUAACACAAGGAAUUUACACUUGAUUGCAAGGCAGAAUGCGGAAAGGCAGAUGGAAAUUUUACAUUCCCAGGCAUUGAGAGUACAAUAUUGGACAAGAAAGAAUCGUUGUCUGCCCUCAAGAGAAAUGAUGGUAUGUCGGGGAAUACACAAAGUAAGCAGGCGGAGAGUUAGCACACUUACUCUACAGUGGGGUAAGCGCUACAAAAUGAGGAAGCGGAGGAAAGAGUGCUGAAUGUCAACUGCAGUAGCAGAGGUGGCUGUGGAAACAAGUGGCCUCUAGACUGAGCCUGGAAGGUGAGUCAGAGCAAACCAGACAGAGAUGGGGAAAUACAGCUGCAGAGGGAAGAUCAGUAACAAAUGCUCAGAGGCAAAAGACAGACUUGACUAUUUGGGGAACUCAAAAUAAAACAUUUCUUAACUAGACAAGCGCCCUGGGGUCAGAUCUGUGGGAGUUUGCAGAUAAUGUUUCAGAGUUUGUACUUGGCUUCAAAGGUAAUGAAGCAUUUUCAGCAGGAGACUUCCAUCAUCAGAUUGGCGUUUGUUUUCAAGUACUACAUAUAUAAAGGAAUAACAGUAUGGAAAGAAAAAGGGAUUGAAAAACAACUUUGUUUUGAUGCUUUUGUGAAGGGUGAAAACUCUCACAUAGCACUUCUCCCACCAGACACAAUUCUUAUGACGCUUUUUUAUUUGAGCACAAGAGGCAAGAAAGUGUGCAACAAAAUACGCAUAAGGAAAUAGGCUGUGUCUAUAGAACAUGAGGUAACGUUUGGAUGAUGUGCUACCUCUUUCUACCUUGGUAGGAAGCCAUUGAUGGUAGGAGCGAAGUGAAGAAGGUGCCGACAUUCACAGCUGCAGAGCAGGGCUCACCUCACUG